AACCGAGCGUGAGCGCCGGGCUGAGCAUGCGCUGAUGGAGAUGGUUGGACGCAGCACGCAUGCGGAUUACGGAAGGGCGAAGGGAGGGCGUUGCGACUCCGCCUCAGUGCGCGUGCGCUUCGCUGGAGGUAUGAGUGGGCGCACAGAAAAGAGGAAGAGGGGGCGACCCGGGAAAUUCGAGAUGCAGAAAAUGAAUCUGAAAGAGAAGAAGGGCUUACUGAAGUCCCCAUAGCCAGGAAGCAUCAGGGCCUGGAUUCAAACCCAAGCCUGCCUGCCUCUAGGGUGAGCCCACAGUUUUUCCCUGGCAACAGGCAGCCUGCCUAGCGGGUUGUUUGAGGAUUAGGUGAGGUGGAAUAUCUGGAUCCCUCAGCACAGGACCUGGCAUAUGUAAGCACUUGUGGUACAUUGUCUCCCAAGCUGGUUCCAGUAAUUCCUCCUCUCUGUGCCAAUGUGUGGCUUCUCCAACCAACAGACUGCCAUGCUGUGAGGAAGCCCGACUGGUCGCAUGGAGAGGCCUUGCAGAGGAGGAUCAAAGCAUCCUGGCCAAAAGCCCCAGUCCAGCCCCAACUGAAUUCAGCUGCUUGAGUGACCUCUGAAGAGACCAGAAGAAGUGCCCAGUCAACCCUCAGAAUCCUGAGAAAUA